UAGGGAAUCUUCCGCAAUGGACGAAAGCCUGACGGAGCAACGCCGCGUGAGUGAAGAAGGAUUUCGGUUCGUAAAACUCUGUUGUUAGGGAAGAAAAAAUGUAUAGUAACUAUAUACAAAAGAGACGGUACCUAACCAGAAAGCCACGGCUAACUACGUGCCAGCAGCCGCGGUAAUACGUAGGUGGCAAGCGUUGUCCGGAAUUAUUGGGCGUAAAGCGCGCGCAGGUGGUUUAGAAAGUCCGAUGUGAAAGCCCACGGCUCAACCGUGGAGGGUCAUUGGAAACUAAUAAACUUGAGUGCAGGAGAGAAAAGUGGAAUUCCUAGUGUAGCGGUGAAAUGCGUAGAGAUUAGGAGGAACACCGGUGGCGAAAGCGGCUUUUUGGCCUGCAACUGACACUGAGGCGCGAAAGCGUGGGGAGCAAACAGG
rnacentral:rRNA from 1 species